rnacentral:rRNA from 1 species
CGCGGCCUAUCAGCUUGUUGGUGAGGUAAUGGCUCACCAAGGCGACGACGGGUAGCCGGCCUGAGAGGGCGACCGGCCACACUGGGACUGAGACACGGCCCAGACUCCUACGGGAGGCAGCAGUGGGGAAUAUUGCACAAUGGGCGAAAGCCUGAUGCAGCGACGCCGCGUGAGGGAUGACGGCCUUCGGGUUGUAAACCUCUUUCAGCAGGGAAGAAGCGAAAGUGACGGUACCUGCAGAAGAAGCGCCGGCUAACUACGUGCCAGCAGCCGCGGUAAUACGUAGGGCGCAAGCGUUGUCCGGAAUUAUUGGGCGUAAAGAGCUCGUAGGCGGUCUGUCGCGUCGGAUGUGAAAUCCCGUGGCUCAACUGCGGGUCUGCAGCCGAUACGGGCAGGCUAGAGUUCGGUAGGGGAGACUGGAAUUCCUGGUGUAGCGGUGAAAUGCGCAGAUAUCAGGAGGAACACCGAUGGCGAAGGCAGGUCUCUGGGCCGAUACUGACGCUGAGGAGCGAAAGCGUGGGGAGCGAACAGGAUUAGAUACCCUGGUAGUCCACGCUGUAAACGUUGGGCGCUAGGUGUGGGGGACCUCUCCGGUUCUCUGUGCCGCAGCUAACGCAUUAAGCGCCCCGCCUGGGGAGUACGG